rnacentral:rRNA from 1 species
UACCAGCUCUCCGAGUGGUAGGGAUGAUUAUUGGGCUUAAAGCGUCCGUAGCCGGCUUAGCAAGUCUCCUGUUAAAUUCAGCGACCUAAUCGUUGAGCCGCGGGAGAGACUACUAGGCUAGGAGGCGGGAGAGGCCGACGGUAUUCUCGGGGUAGGGGUGAAGUCCUAUAAUCCCGGGAGGACCACCAGUGGCGAAGGCUGUCGGCUAGAACGCGCUCGACGGUGAGGGACGAAAGCUGGGGGAGCGAACCGGAUUAGGUACCCGGGUAGUCCCAGCUGUAAACGAUGCGGGCUAGGUGUUGGGGUGGCUACGAGCCACUUCAGUGCCGCAGGGAAGCCACUAAGCCCGCCGCCUGGGGAGUACGGCCGCAAGGCUGAAACUUAAAGGAAUUGGCGGGGGAGCACCACAAGGCGUGAAGCCUGCGGUUC